rnacentral:lncRNA from 1 species
UUACCCAUUGCAGUUCUUUUUCAGUAUGUCUACGUUUCUCAAAAACCUUCUCCCCAAAAGGCCAAUCAAAGCUGCUUGAAUGAGUUUUUGGAGGCAGUUUGCCUGCAGGAAGCGACAUCUUCCCUGGAGAGGAGUCUUUUAGAAACGCCAAAAGUCAUUCCAGCUUUGCUGCCUUCAUUGGUUAGAGGAGAGCCAAAUGCCUUUGCUCUCUUCUGCCUCCUACAGAAGCAUCUGGCCCGGAGUCCCUGGACAGGAAGCUGCAGCCCUUGUUCAUGGAUCUACUGCUGGGGUUGUAAGGAAAAACAGAGGAAUGCAUCAACCCUGCAGCAGACCAUCUGGGAAAUUUCUACAUGGGCUUGCAUCUUCAUUGGAAUGACUGUGGAGGAUCACAGACUGAAAUCUAUGACUUCAGCUGGCUAUAGCAGCAGCCUGAGUAGCAGGAAACCCAGUAUGGGAUAAUGGUUUGGAUUUUGCACAUCAUGCAGUCAGUGAACAUAGCCGAGUUCUGUACUUUGGCAAACAGUUGAGAUAAAGAAAUAAAAUAAAACACAGAAAUGUAAUGAGAAACA